GUUUGGGCGGACCGAGCAACGGUGGCACAACGUGCGAGCUAGGUGGGUAAGUCUCCCACCUGGACCAACGAACACGAGGACGACCACUCCAGUGGAGCGAGGAGGACCUUGGAGUCCGGCACUCUGGCCAUCGCCACCUUCAGCAGCACAAGACGGUAGACUCGGGAGCGCACCGGCGACCCUGCGCACAGGUGGCAGUGUAGAAGCCAAAUCGGGAGCUUCUAGCAGUGGUUUCUAAAAAAUAAAGAGUUGAAUGUACAUGAGUAUGCAAGCACAGGAAUCUGAAAAACCACAGGUCAAGCUGUAGAACAUUUCUGGUAGGCCAGAAGAUUUCUUCCUGCCUUUUCUGCUCAUCAUUCGUCUGCCUCCAAAGGAAGGAAUGAAAUGCAGAUAACUCUUUAGAAAACUUUUGUAGGAAAAGUACCUCGUGUGAUCUGGAGCAAAGACAUUUUAUAAUCAGAUUUGUCAAGCUGCGAAGAGGGAGUUUUAGCAAACGGAAGCAGCAGCAUUCUGUCCCCAGGAAACACUGCUUUAUCCAGAAUUGAAUCUCUCCCCAGAAGGCCAUGGAUCGUCCAGCUACUGAAAAGCAUAGAUGCCCUCAGUGGCUCAGUAGCCAGUGUAGAUCCUGUCUUUUGUAAUCAGCAGCUACAUCUGGCUACUGGGUCUCUGAUUACAUCUUCUAACUUCUAUUACAAUAUUCUAAGAACAAUAUUGGUCCAUCUUCAAUAAGGAAAGCUUCACCUUAAGUCAUACAGAGAGAGUUUUUGAGGUAUGAGAUGUGAUAUACUCCAUUAUUAGCUGGGUUUUAGAAACUUUGGUUUUAUGAAUAAUGAGAAGUCUGUUUGCUUUCAUUACACCAAAAGAUAAAAUCUGGAUUGUUUUGCCCUCUAUUCUCUCCUUUCCCUGUGGAAGGACUCAUCUGCCGCCAUGGAAGGAAUCAUUUGCCACUCUGUAUGUAUAUAUGUAUAUACCAGUCAAUCUACCUAUAUCUAGAUAUUGCAUCCAUCUAUUUACCCACCUAACCCAUCAGUCCAUCCUUCUGUCCAUACAUAGAUAGACAACACAUAUGUGGACUCUGCAAAAUAACAUAUUUAUUGAAUAAUAACACCAUAAUAUAGUGGUUUGAGGAAACUUCAUUUGCAGAACAUAGGUCUCAGCAAUUCUGACCUUAGCUUGUCCUUUUUCCAUGGCAGAAGAGCUACUAAUUUUGAUAUCUUUAAUGCAGUAGCCAAGUAUGUUGAAAUAGUAUUGGGGGGAUGACUUGGGGGCCGAACCUCCAGGUCUGGGGCAUGAACCUGGCAUACAAUGUAGAUUUCUGUGUUUGUUGAACAACAGCUACAUUGUCUGCUGGGUUUCAGGCUACCUGGAAACAUGUUCUUCACUGACUGUGUCAUCAGUGCUGCAUCCUUUCAAUAGCUUUUCCAUAAAGCACAAAUCAGGAGGGUUUAUGGUUGGACAGAGUACAAGGACGGGACUCUCAGAAAACUGAUCACUUCAGCAAAUAAUGGUUUCAUUGUGAAUUGACUCAAAAUGGUCUCACACCAACCUAGUGAACCAAACCAGAAGCAAGCUAAAUGUUAUUCUUCCCUCCCCCUCCUCAACUCUAGAAGGCUAAGAUUGUUAUGAAUCACUUCAUUUCUGUUUAUGUACUUAGGAUCAGAAAGUGUGGUAUCCAUGGGCCUAAUUACACUGCCCUGUCACCUACUAUUCCCUGCGUUUUGCCUUCUCACCCCCCUGGAAAAAACAGGUUCAUUUUGUAGUUCCUUUACCAUUGUCCUUAAAACUUUUAUGAAGGAGCCUCAGUCUUAAUAGAAUCUGAAUUUUUUUAGUCUGCCUUGUCUUCUCAUCUCCAUCAUGUGUUUCUUGAAAGUAAAGUCUGGAAUUUAGAUAAAGUGAACUAUUUACCACAUUCACUAGCUCUUAUGAAACUGAAAGAGUUGUUUUCCUAUGAAAUGACAGGGAAUAUGUAAAGCUAAUAUCAAGUUUGCAGGACAAAAAGAAUAAGAAAAUGAAACAACUUUUAGACAACACAAAUUUCACAAUGUUUUGUUUGCCUGAUCUUGGUAAAUUUUAAUCCUGUAAAUUUUGUAGAAACUAGCAAGUUAGAUGAUGAAAUUGUUAAUAAUGAAGAAUAAAACUUUUAAAGGAGAAUGUAUUAGCCUUCGGUUUUAUGAACUGGAGAUGUUUAGUAAGAAAUCAGAUACUUUAAAUUAAUAUGUAGUAACAGAUUUGAAGUGGAAAAUGAUUAUAAAGACCAGUGUCUCCAUGUAAUAAUUAUAGUUAUGAUAUGUUUUUGUCACCCCACUCUGAAUUCAAUAAAAAUAAAAGAUAAUGAUGAGCCUUUA